AGGAGGGUUCAAUAAAGAGCAAAUUGAUGGGCUGCCCACCCCGGUCCUGCAAGUAUUAUGGGCCAAACACUGUGAGGAUGGGAAAGGGAAGAAGACAGAGCCUUCAGAACCCCCUGACCUCCAGCAGUAGGAGUCCCGGCCAACCCAACCCCCAGAGCAAGGGGCCAUCGUGGGGCAGUAGAGUAUCGGGACCGGUAACACAGAAUAAUAUUGGCCCCUUAAUUCAAGUACCUAUAAAGAUUUGUCUCAAUGGAAGGGAAAAGUCAAUUAAUAUGCUACUAGACACUGGUGCCCAGCUAUGUGUUUUGGACUGUGCAGAAUGGAAAGGGGCACAGGGAACUCCCUAACAGGUAGUAGGAGUUGGAGGUGCCAGACGAUCAGGACAUUUGGUCCAGCCCACUUUCACCUUGCCUAAUGGCUCCAUAGUAACAGCAGCUGCUGUCAGGCUCUGGGGAGGGCCGAACCUUAUGGGACUAAACAUGUUGCAGGAGCAGCGGUUUAUCCUUAAACAGGAAACUUGGCAGUUUGGAUGUGCCACGGUUCAGGAAGGCAAGCAGAAGGACAUAUAAUGACGGCAGUAGCCUGAUGUUCCAUGACCCCACUUGCUCUGCCAGCCAUGAAGGGGGUACACUGACCUCAAUACCGCAUACCCCCCAAGGGAACGCAACCCAUCAAGGACAUCAUCAACCGAGAGCUGGAGGAUGGAACUAUCAUUCGAACUCAUUCCCUGUACAACAACCCAGUGUGGCCAGUACGUAAACCAAAUGGGGAUUGGCGAUUGACUAUUGAUUUUAGGGCUUUGAAUGCCAACACUGACCAUCUGAUAGCCUCAGUCCCAUCCAUGUCUGCACUGAUGGAAAGCAUGAGGUGCUAUGGCCCACAGUGGAUGGGAUUCAUAGACAUUAAGGACAUGUUCUUUGUUAUUCCCAUCCAUGAAAAUCACUGGCCUUUGUUUGCCUUCACACGGUUGGGACAGCAGUACACCUAUACAGUCCUACCCCAUGUCUGGGUGCACAGCCCCACCUUGGCUAUCAAAGAGCAAGCUGUGGUGGUCCAUAAAGUCCAGUUGAGUCAUCCAGAGGUACGUGUCUGGCAAUACGUCGAUGAUGUCAAGGCUGGGAAUUAACCAUUUCUGGUUUUGACUCCCUAAAGGAAAAGGUGCAAGCAUUUGGGUUCACGCUGUUCAGCAAAAAGAUCCAAGAAGUCGGGCCCCAGUGUGAAUUCCUGGAAAUCCAAUGGUAGCAAGGUGGACCCAGUGUACCAGCCAAAGAGCUGCAGAGUCUGGUAGAUACCCCUGCCCCCAACACUGUAAAAGAGCUGCAAGCCCAGCUGGGUGCACUUAACUUCUGGCACCUGCAUGUCCCUGAGUUUACUGUGUUGGCCUGGCCUCUGUAUAAUCCAUGCAAGAAAAAAAAAACAGAGUGGGAAUGGGGCCCCGAGCCCCAACAUGUUAUGCGGGCCCUCAAGGAAGCAGUGAUCACCCACUCUCCCUAGCAGCACGGCACCCAGUAGGGGCGCUCUGGCUCCAUGUAAACGUGUCUGAAGGGGGGCCCCAUUGGAGCUUGUAGCAAAGGGACACACCUGAGACAGAGGUAAAACCCCUUGGCUUCUGGAGCUGAGGCUGGAAAGAGGCCGAAGCCCGAUACACCCUUCUGGAACAAAUGCUGUGUGCAGCAGCCACAGCUUUAACAGUCACAGAGGCCCUGAGAGGGGAGCUUCUCACUGUCAUAAUGACUCCGGUGCCCAUCCUAAGAAUGCUAUUGUCCGACAGACACCUCCCUCCAGGGGGUUGAGCCCAAGAAACCACACUGCAAAAAUGGAUCUAUUAUAUCUUAAGUCAAGCUCAGCAGGUGACCCCAAACGGACAUCUAGUAUUAGUAGCAAAGGUCACAGAGAGCACAAUUAACAUAUACCCAGACACGGCCAGCCCAGACAAGCCGUCUCCCAUCAAGGAAGCACCCCCCUUUUCACUCAACAUGGAAACGUCAGAGGACAUAGUGAUCUGGUUUACCGACGGCUCAGCCAAAGGUCAUACCUGGAGGGGGGCUGCCAUACGAAUCCAGGAUAAUAAGCAACUCACCCUGGGGGGGAAAUUGUCAAAGUGCACAAUAUGCUGAGCUAGCUGCUGUAGUCACUGUGGCCAAGUAUGAACUGGUAGAGGUAACAGGCUACCCGACAAGGCCCAUUUAUAUUUACUGCGAUUCAUGGAUGGUAGUGGAGAGUUUCACCAAGUGGCUACUCCUGUGGAAGAAGGAAAUCUUCAAAAGGCAGGGAAGAGACAUCUAAGCCAUGAAUAGUGGGAAGCUUUGUGGGAAAUGGCACAGGGAGGCCUUCCCUUAUACAUACGGCACAUCAGUGCAGCGCAUGGGAGCAGAAAGGCUGAGGGGCCUGAGGCAAAGUGGAACAGGCAAGUGGAUGAGCUAGCCAGAGGCAACACAGAAGCCCUCGUUGCUGAAGCAGAGGCUCAGUCACCCCCAGGAAAACUGCCCAGCCCCUCCCACCAGACCCCUGGAGUGCUAGCCACAGAGUGGCUGCAUCGGCAGCAUGGGCACCCUGGCUGCAAUGGCACUGCUCGCCUAGCAGCCACCUGGGGCAUUCACUUAACUAAAAGGGAAGAACAGGAAUUAGUCAACUCUUGCAUCACCUGCCAGGAGGUCAAAGGUCGACUAACCCCUGCCUCGACUACCCCUUUGUCGCUGCACGAUGGAAAGGUGCGCUGCCCACCCUGGGUCCCAACAUGACCACUGCUGCAACCCCACCUGCAGAUCGAAAUUCUACAACUACCUGGAGCCCAAGGAGGUGACCAAAACCUCCAACCCCACCUCCAUGGGAGACUAUAGCUCCAGCAGUUCCCCUGCCCGUUGACACUUUGGAAUAAUGGUGUUCAGCUCACCAAAUACACCAGUCCUCCAGAUACAGCAAGGUACUGUGGUAGUUUAAAAAAUGGCUCUUAUGCUGUCAAGUGGUGGUCCACGGAAUGGGAGGCCAACAUGUCCCACAUUCCAGCUAUUUUGUGGUUCCACCAUAUGAAUGAAGGGGGGCUCGCUCACAGAAUUGAAUAAACAAUAGCUGCAUAUUGCCAAUCAGUCUGGGAAAAUCUUCAGGACACAGCCCUGGUCAGCCCAGAAGAACUGGCUGAGCCCAUGUGGGGCACCGUGCCAGAAUAAUUUCUGCAAGAUACCAAAGCCAUAGUCGCACCUGGGAAGUGUGCAUUUAAGAGUACAAAUGGGGACACACCCGAGUGAAUGAGCUCCUUUGACCAACCCGAUUGGGAAAUUUACCAAUCCCAAAAGGAAGAUGGAAGAUGGAUAAACACCCGAACAGGAGAACCCCGAGCCGUUUUUUGCAUUAAGCAAGGAUGUACCUUGUUAAUCCUAAAGGAGUCACCACAGCUGUAUCCGCUACUUUGCUUAUCUAACGUCACUCCCUGGUGGAGGUUCCAAACCAGGACUUCGGUCCUCCUUAAUGCCUCCUUGUUCAAUGCCGUAUCACAUUUAACCCCAAGCAAUAGUUUGUAGAACAGCAUUUCCUAACUGCUCUUCCGGUGCUUGGUUGGCAGAAAAUAUGCUGUGCUGGGCCUAGCCAACUGUUUUCCAACCCACCGCCCAGCCUUCAAUCUCCCGGAAAAAGAGGGAUACCCUAGACCGUGUGUGAAAUGGGCUCAACUCAGCCAUGGGAGUUUGGAACAUAGAUAAAUCCCAGAAAAAACACCCAAGGAAUCAUGGAUAUAUGGCGAGCCAUAGGUUUUCUCAUUCAGGGAGGUAUAAUUGAUAACUUGGCUUUAGAAUAUGCUGAUGAGUUAGUGGCAACCAUUGGCCAAAAAGCAGCAGAAAGAAGUCACCUUUUGAUGCAUGCAGCCUUCCAAGCCGCUGCUAAUCAAACCUGGAGCACUGCUUGUGCCCAAGUACAGCUUUUACUUUACUCAAUACCUGGGGAAAAUGAAGGUUAUCUCAGGCACAAAGAAUGGCUGCUGGCUUAGAGCACCAUGGACUACCCCCAGCUUUAGCUCAACGGUUAGUUUACUGAGACACAUGGAGCACAGGCUGGGAGGGGUGUAGCAAGACAAAAUGCUUUUUUGUAGUACAUGGGGUAGCAAAUGGCACAUGGUCCACUGCCCAUCUCUUGACUACAGGACUUAGAGGGGGGUGCAUGUGGGACUGGGACUUGCAUUGUUCCAUUUUGGAAAUUGUAAACCCUGAAGAUCCCAAGUAUUUGGCCCAAUCCCUGGUGUACCCUGUAAAUGGCAUUGUAAUAAACUUGGGAACUUCAUGAAGAGGGUGGCCUGAUAGUCCCUCCAACAUGGAUUGUGUAACACCCCUACCAGCAACUCCCUAUAUUACCUUAGCCCAACGAGUUUGCUGGGAAAGUCCUGGCCACUUAUAUCAUCCUAACAGUACAGAGGCUCAAGAUUUCCAAGGGGCAUCAGCUACCCUAUAUGUCCAAGACCAGAAAACCACCUUAAUGUGGCCAAAAACCCAAUUAGAAAUUGUUACCCUCAACCUAAGUCUUCCAAAAUCCUGGAUUAAAGAUGUAAACAUGUUCCAGCUAAAGAGAUGGGGUGAAGUAGCAACCUACAUUAAAGGUCUGUUUGAAAAUGCCCAAAAAGGAAAACAACUUGCUCUCGUAACUCAAGAGGGAGGUAAAAUUAUUAAACGCACUAUUAAUAUUCCUCCACUGUGUAAGUAGUAUAAAGUGGUCUGUAUUGUACAAAUAUAUACCUUUACUACAGGUGCUCCUUUUCCUUGGUUUGUGGUAGUAAUACGUUUAAUCAUAAAAAUAAUAUUAUUCAAUAUAAUCUUUAAAUGUUAUUAUUAUAAAAUUCAGUCUAAUACUUAUGCCAAAGUAAAUGUUGUUGCUUCUGCCAACCAUGUAUAUACCACCUGGCAGAAAUCAUAUUUGUAGGCCUUACCAAAUGCUCCAAAGCAGCAAGGGGUGGAUUGUGACAGCCAGAACCAGAGGGAUUAAUAAGCAAUAAAUAUGUGCUUCUUGGAGGCAUUUGGUAUUUUGCCUAAACAGGUAAUAUUAGUUAAUAUAAGGUUGUAAGUUUGUAAACUGCAAAUGUGACUUGUCUGUCAUAAGUUUAACCAAAAUGAAAAAUUAACUGUUCGUGGAACUGACUGCGCCCCAUAGGCAAAGCUGUACCUGUGAGAUUAGCUGACCUAACGGUUUCUGCUCAGGUUCAGCUUUAGUGAUAAAAACUGUAUCCAAUUGCCUGGCACACACAACACAUUCCAGGAAAAAAUGUCCCAAGAAAGCAUAUUCAAAUGAAACCUAAAAGGGGUUGAGGCUUAGGCAGAGCAAUGUCAAUUUCAAACCUAAAGGUGCUGCAUCAUAAUUUGCUUAUGGGAAAAACCCGAGUUUGGAUAGUAACCUUUUAUAAUAAUUUUUAACACCUUUCAAUCCCAUAGGGUACCAGCUACAGGGCAACAUUGUGAGUGGCUCUGAGGCCAACAGAUUAACAUAAGACUAGGUAUAAAAGCCAUGUGCAUCAGGUAACGAGCAGGAAGGAUGGAACAGAAUGGUCAUUUCUGUUCCACACCUGGACCCCAGACUCCUGGUGUGAGUGAGGAUUAGAUCCUGAUCAAGGGAACUUCCCUGGCAACCCUGUGACAGCGUUGAUUGGGGAUGCCUGACUUCACUGGAAUCACUUGACGCAUACCUGGCAUUGAGGGAUUAUCAAUAAAUUGCAAACCCAUGUCUGCCUCUGUGUUGUUUUGAACAGAGUAGUGGCUAAUUAGCUUACAGUGCCCAGUUAGCCUGUGAAAGAAUUGAUCUAUCUGUUGUUAUGAUCUGUUGUUAUUAUUUACUAUUAGCUCUUUAAUACAGCAUUAUCUGCUUAUUGCAUUUAUCUUUCUGUUAACUGUUGUGUGUGUGUAAGCUGUAAUAAAUUUGCCUUUGCCUCA